rnacentral:hammerhead_ribozyme from 1 species
AUCCAGCUGACGAGUCUCAAAUAGAACGGAUCGCGCGUCCUGGAU